AGUGCAUGUUCUCCUGGCUUUGUUUUCUAACCCACGCGCCUCCUGUCUGCUGAGCCUUGGUGCCUGUUUGGUGAGGAGUGUGUGUGUCUGGUGUGCAUUUGUGCAUUUUUGUGCUAUUAACUCUUACACGGGUUUGCUCUCCGGACCUAUGCCCUGGUUACCCUAUGACCCAUAAAGGACACACCAGGAGCUGGUAACCAGUGCAGAGGGACAGUCGUAUCCAUUUUUAUAGCCCUUUGGAGGGGAACAGUCUGCCUGCUUCUGGAUGCUGUGUUCAUGAGCAGUUUUGUAACUAGACCCUCCUAGGGAUCUGGAGUCAAAUGUGAAAUUCCCAAGGAUACCGGCACAGUGCAGGUUUAUGAGGAUGGCAAGAAAGAGGUCUGGGGACAGGGAAUUUUGUUCCUCCCCAUUGUGAGGGGAAGGAAAGGGUCAGAGAGACCAGCCUCCCUCUGGAGGGUGUCAAGGUUUAUAGUCACUGGGCUCAGCCAGCGGCUCACCGUGCACCCUCAAACAAGCAGGCUCCUCUCCUGGGUCUCAGUUGCCUGUCUAGGUCCCAUGAUCUAAAUCUUUGACCUCACUACUUGCCCUUAUAAAGAACAAAGUUACAAGCAUUCCCUCCUGCAGACAGAGCAGGUGGCCUCGUAGGAAGUUCAGAGCCAGUGCCCGCUGCUCUGCAACAUUUUCCACCCUGGGGACCCUUGUCAAUUUGCAAAAUUUCAUCUGAGCCUCUGUAAAUGGGGGAAAGAAAGGUCCCCUCAUAGUCAUGGGUGAAAAGUGGUAGGCCCCUGUCUGUAUCGUAGGUUGGCUGCCCUGGUAAGGCUUAGAUAAGGAACUGAAAGACCCUUGUAAUUAGCCAAGACUGGGCCCCAGAAGAGAGGGGAAAAGAGCAUCAAUUGCCCAUGAGUGGUCCUGGAGCAAGGGGACCUACUGGGCUUCCACGCUAGGUCAGCAGGUGUUUCAAAGCUAGUGACCCACUUUGCCUGACAUGAGGAGUUGAAGCCAGGCAUCCAGACUUCCCGGUAGCUGCCAGCUGCCAGGACCACAGCCUAGGGCAGCUCACAAGGCGAGGGGAAGUCAGUGGCCCCAGCACUUGGGUGUUGUCCUCAGAGAGAUCAGCACUAAUCACGGUGUUGCACUCAAUAGUGAAGGAGACGCCACAGUAUGGCAAGAACCCCGUGGUGAUGGUGGACGAGAUCAUGAGCUCCAGCCCUCCCAAGUUCACCUUCCCUGAAGCAGGCUUACGAAUCAUGAUCACCAAUAAGUUUGGACCCAGGACCCGACUACGGAUGGCCAGCAGGAUCAUCAUUAAUGAGCGGCAGAGACUGAUCAACUCGGCCAACGGUGUGAGCAGCAAGCCGCUUCAAAACGGGAGACACGAGAACAUUGAGAACGGGAAUGUUCCUGUGGAAAACCCCGAAGACCCUCAGCAGAAUCAGGAGCAGCAGCCACCGCCACAGCCACCACCGCCGGAGCCAGAGCCAGUGGAGGCUGACUUCCUGUCCCCCUUCUCCAUGCCGGAGGCCAGAGGGGACAAGGUCAAGUGGGUGUUCACCUGGCCCCUCAUCUUCCUCCUGUGCAUCACCAUUCCCAACUGCAGCAAGCCCCGCUGGGAGAAGUUCUUCAUGGUCACCUUCAUCACCGCCACGCUGUGGAUUGCUGUGUUCUCCUACAUCAUGGUGUGGCUGGUGACUAUUAUCGGAUACACACUUGGGAUCCCGGAUGUCAUCAUGGGCAUUACUUUCCUGGCAGCAGGGACAAGUGUUCCAGACUGCAUGGCCAGCUUAAUUGUGGCGAGACAAGGCCUUGGGGACAUGGCAGUCUCCAACACCAUAGGAAGCAACGUGUUUGACAUCCUGGUAGGACUUGGCGUACCGUGGGGCCUGCAGACCAUGGUUGUUAAUUACGGAUCAACAGUGAAGAUCAACAGCCGGGGGCUGGUCUAUUCCGUGGUCCUGUUGCUGGGCUCUGUUGCUCUCACCGUCCUCGGCAUCCACCUAAACAAGUGGCGACUGGACCGGAAGCUGGGUGUCUACGUGCUGGUUCUCUACGCCAUCUUCUUGUGCUUCUCCAUAAUGAUAGAGUUUAACGUCUUUACCUUCGUCAACUUGCCGAUGUGCCGGGAAGACGAUUAGCGCUGAGUCGCGCCCCUGGGAGCUGAUCUGGACACUCUGUGACACUGGCGUCCUCCUCUCCCCUCCUUCCCCCACCACAGGUCUCUCCUGCAUAGGCAGCCACUGUCCGUUCUUUCACACACCGGAAGGAAGAGCCAUCGUGGUCUUUGUCUGGUCACAGGCCAGGCUGCUGGGCAUCCUCCUCCUCCUUGGAGUUCCGCCCCUGCAAGGCUGGAUUUGGGGGCCAUUAUCUGAGCAGCUUCGAAGACCCCUGAGCUGCCAACUACGGAGAUGUGCCAAGCAUCUCAUCUCUCCUGCACACUUUAGUCAGAAGGACUUCUGCAUGCAGUUUGUCUUUCUGUUCUGCAGGCAGCCUCAGAAAUGAGGUCAUUUGUGAGCACAAGAUCUCAUAGGGCCCUUUUCCUGGAAAAACUGGAAGAAUGAAAAUAAUUUUUUUCUGUGGAAGAGAGAAAAUGAGUGAAUAUUCUUCUCACUUUUAUUGAUGCAUUCAGAGAAUAAGCAAUGAAAUAUUAAAAAAUGAAACAUCAUAUAGGUCAUCAUACUUGAAAACUAUCAUUCCAUAUGAAAGGAUCAUGAUACACACCAAAAAAGCAAUGAUCGUAAAGACACAAAUCCUCUGUACGCCGUCUUGCAUUGGCACUGAGGUGUUUGGUUUGGAAUAGGGAAAAAGGUAAGAGACUGACGUGGAAAGGUGCUAACUCAGAGACUGGAGAUUAUAGUUUACAGCUGUACUUUCCAGAUCUUCUAUGUGACACAAUGCACUGUCCUUGUGGGUUUGUCAAUUAUUUGUUAAUGCUCUAGUUUCAAAACCACCCUGUUGAAAGUUCCAGUUAUUUAUAUGCCCAACAAAUUUCAUAGCCUGCUGAACUGGACUGAGUGUGUCAGAAGUGCUGGUUAAUGACGAGAAGAGAGAUUGCCUGAAAAACAACAAACUGCUUUCUGGUUAGCUGAAGGCAAGUGUGAAAAUCAUAAUUUAGAAUAUUUAGAGCUAAGCUUCUGGAACCACGUAGUUUACUACACGUGACAGGCCAAGAAUGGGAGGCUGACUCAAAACUAGAUAGAAAAAUAUAAAAUAAUUUUCGACCACUUGAUAGCUCUCAAAUAUAUAUUUAAAAGAUUUAUGAAUACAAACCAUUUAUGGUUUAUGGUUUCUAAAAAAGAAAGCACAAUUAAUUUUAUAGAGAGGUUUUUUAUUUUUUUAAUAUUUCUAUUGCAAAAGUCUAUCCGAUUUGAUGCACUUUGAAUAUUGAGAUAUUUUGCACGGAUGAAUGUAUGGGAACUACCCAUGAUGAUGUAAGAGGAAAGAACAUUUUUUUGUGAUUCACCAGACAUCACUUUAAACUUGGUGAUGAGUUUAAAUCCAGUAGCUAAUCCCUUCCUGAGACUCAAAGAUCGUGACCCUGGUUGGAAUUUCUGACUGUGCUCUUUAGGGCCUCCUGAGUUUCAAAAGGAGGAAGUGUUCGUGCUUGUGUCCCUUAAGUUCCCUGUUGCAUGAGCCUGCGACAGGACCUCACCCCCACCACCAGGCUUCUAUUUGGGAUUCACGUCAGUAUUAGUAUCGUAGCUACACCAAGUUCAGGCUUCUCUUUUUGUUUUUUUACCUAGAAAUUGGGCUCAGUGGUCUUCAACUUGAGGAUGAGGGUGAUUUUCCUAAGAAAUCAGCAAAGAGGGAAGGCAGGGACCCUGCAGAUUCACCAAUAUAAACUAGCUGCAGGGAUUUCAGAGCCCUUGGGACCACUCUGUCCCCUUAAUAGCUAAGUUCUCCUGGUUCCUCCGAUCUUACAGGCUCAUCCAGGUUCCAAAGUGCUUCUGUCUCUGUUUUGAUUCUCCAAACUGCUCUGUGAUGUACGUAGGGAUUAUUCUCCCCACUUAACAGAAAGUAGUGUCUUGGAGAGGUCAAGGGUCUCUAGUUCAAUGGCCAGUCAUAGCAGAAGGGAGGCCAAGCCCCAGUCCAUCACCCCUCCCAGGCCAGCCUCUGUAAGUUGGCCAUACUUGGGGAGUGAGUGUGGGUAUGACUUUACCUUCCUGGUUAGUUCUUACUGUUUGAGUCAAAACCUCAUCAAUAUAUCAUUGACUCCUGGGUUCCUCAGGUCAUUUCCUAAUAUCUGUCCCUAUCCAAUGCCUCUAUUUUUUCUUGAAAAAAGGACCAAAAAUUAUUUUUAGCUAUGACAAGGCACAGGCCACGUGGCCCUUGAUGGUGUCCCUGCUGGUUUUCAAUUCUCUGAAGCCUUGUGUAGCUUUCAGAGCACACGUAUCCUAAUUACCCUCCUCUUCCUCAGCAGAACACAUUUGAGAUUCUAAAUGGAUACUGUUAGUCUCUAAAGUUGCAGUUAGAAACUAAAAUAAUGUUUUUUAAUAUGUAAUAUGCUCCUCUUGGCUAAUUUUCUUUUGACUUUAACGUGCCAAUGUAACUUCCUUUAAAGGAUCUAUGCAUUUAUUAAAUCUAGAAAACUA
rnacentral:sRNA from 1 species